rnacentral:tRNA from 1 species
GGGCCGGUAGCUCAGCACGGAAGAGCGACGGUGGGCUCCUCUAGCCCUGUCGAAGCUUUUAUCCAGAAGCGUGGAGGAGACCCGUAGGACCCGGGUUCAAAUCCCGGCCGGCCCGCCA